UACGAAGGGGGCUAGCGUUGCUCGGAAUCACUGGGCGUAAAGCGCACGUAGGCGGCUCUUUAAGUCGUGAAGUCAAAUCUCUGGGCUCAACCCAGAAUCGCUUCCGAUACUGCGGUGACUGGAGUCCGGUAGGGGAGUGUGGAAUUCCUGGUGUAGCGGUGAAAUGCGCAGAUAUCAGGAGGAACACCAACAGCGAAGGCAGCACUCUGGGCCGGUACUGACGCUGAGGAGCGAAAGCAUGGGGAGCGAACAGG
rnacentral:rRNA from 1 species